UGGGGAAUAUUGCACAAUGGGCGCAAGCCUGAUGCAGCGACGCCGCGUGGGGGAUGACGGCCUUCGGGUUGUAAACUCCUUUCGCUAGGGACGAAGCUUUUUGUGACGGUACCUAGAUAAGAAGCACCGGCUAACUACGUGCCAGCAGCCGCGGUAAUACGUAGGGUGCGAGCGUUGUCCGGAAUUACUGGGCGUAAAGGGCUCGUAGGUGGUUUGUCGCGUCGUCUGUGAAAUUCCGGGGCUUAACUCCGGGCGUGCAGGCGAUACGGGCAUAACUUGAGUACUGUAGGGGUAACUGGAAUUCCUGGUGGAGCGGUGAAAUGCGCAGAUAUCAGGAGGAACACCGAUGGCGAAGGCAGGUUACUGGGCAGUUACUGACGCUGAGGAGCGAAAGCAGGGGUAGCGAACAGG
rnacentral:rRNA from 1 species